ACAAGCUUUCGGGAGAACCUCCCUUUCUCAAGUCUGAAGCAUUUGAGAAAGGGAGGUUCUCCCGAAAGCUUG